UACGUAGGGGGCUAGCGUUGUCCGGAAUCAUUGGGCGUAAAGAGCGCGUAGGCGGCUGGAAUAGUCCGGUGUGAAAUCCACAGGCUUAACCUGUGAAUGCCGCUGGAAACUGUCUGGCUAGAGUCCGGAAGGGGCGAGUGGAAUUCCUGGUGUAGCGGUGAAAUGCGCAGAUAUCAGGAGGAACACCGGUGGCGAAGGCGGCACUCUGGGCCGGUACUGACGCUGAGGAGCGAAAGCGUGGGGAGCGAACAGG
rnacentral:rRNA from 1 species